AAAGACCUCAGGUCCAGAGACCACAUUUUGAGUAGCAGUCCAGAGGAUUGAAGCCACUGAGGGAAAAGAAUGUAUAGCUGAUCACUACAGUCCUCCUUGGUCUAUCGCAGGAAUGCUCCUUACCCAGCAGGAGGCGGACGAGGCUAUGGGUCAAGAGCACCUGCUUCGUGGGGAAGCCUUGUCUGUCAUCGCCUCCAUUGCUCCAGACCACAAAACCUUCCAUUCUUCGCCCAGAGCAUCGGCAGCGACUUCCGUGGCCAGACGCUUCUUAUUAAAGUUGCAUCUCUGGGGAACAUCAUGGGGUAACCUUUAGGAUAUGUAAUCACUAGAUGUGUAAGUGUAAAUGCAAGCCACUUUAUUUAGAGUGGUAUGAAUAAAACAGAUCUUUUUUUAAAAAAG
rnacentral:lncRNA from 1 species